AGUGAACGCUGGCGGUAGGCCUAACACAUGCAAGUCGAACGGCAGCACAGUAAGAGCUUGCUCUUACGGGUGGCGAGUGGCGGACGGGUGAGGAAUACAUCGGAAUCUACUUUUUCGUGGGGGGUAACGUAGGGAAACUUACGCUAAUACCGCAUACGACCUACGGGUGAAAGCAGGGGAUCUUCGGACCUUGCGCGAUUGAAUGAGCCGAUGUCGGAUUAGCUAGUUGGCGGGGUAAAGGCCCACCAAGGCGACGAUCCGUAGCUGGUCUGAGAGGAUGAUCAGCCACACUGGAACUGAGACACGGUCCAGACUCCUACGGGAGGCAGCAGUGGGGAAUAUUGGACAAAGGGCGCAAGCCUGAUCCAGCCAUACCGCGUGAGUGAAGAAGGCCUUCGGGUUGUAAAGCCCUUUUGUUGGGAAAGAAAAGCAGCAGGUUAAUACCCCGCUGUUCUGACGGUACCCAAAGAAUAAGCACCGGCUAACUUCGUG
rnacentral:rRNA from 1 species